rnacentral:snRNA from 1 species
GUGCUUGCUUUGGCAGCACAAGUACUAAAAUUGGAAUGAUACAGAGAAGAUUAGCAUGGCC